AGGACGAACGCUGGCGGCGUGCUUAACACAUGCAAGUGGAGCGACGAACCGGGGCUUGCCCCGGGGCAGAGCCGCGAACGGGUGAGUAACACGUGGGUAACCCACCUCGAUGACCGGGACAACCCGAGGAAACUCGGGCUAAUACCGGAUGUGAUCCUCUUUCGUAAGGAAGAUGAUGAAAGAUAGCUUCGGCCUUCGCAUCGAGACGGGCCCGCGGCCCAUUAGCUUGUUGGUGGGGUAACGGCCUACCAAGGCUUCGAUGGGUAGCUGGUCUGAGAGGACGAUCAGCCACACUGGGACUGAGACACGGCCCAGACUCCUACGGGAGGCGGCAGUGGGGGAAUCUUGCGCAAUGCGCGAAAAGCGUGACGCAGCAAACGCCGCGUGGGGAAGACGGCCUCGGUUGGUAACCCGUUACCUACGUGGUACGAAGACUCGACGUUAAGUAAGACGCGUGGAGUGACGGUACGUUCUACGAAGAAGACCCGGCCGUAACUAAGUAGCACGCAGCCGC
rnacentral:rRNA from 1 species